CGAAAGGAACGCUAAUACCGCAUACGUCCUACGGGAGAAAGCAGGGGACCGUUCGGGCCUUGCGCUAUCAGAUGAGCCUAGGUCGGAUUAGCUAGUUGGUGAGGUAAUGGCUCACCAAGGCGACGAUCCGUAACUGGUCUGAGAGGAUGAUCAGUCACACUGGAACUGAGACACGGUCCAGACUCCUACGGGAGGCAGCAGCA
rnacentral:rRNA from 1 species